rnacentral:rRNA from 1 species
GGCUGAAAUUACGCCUUCAUGAAGCUGGAAUUGCUGUAAUGGCAGGUCAGCAUACUGCCGUGAAUACGUCCCCGGGCCCUUGUACACACCGCCCGUCACACCAUGAGAGUUGGGAAUACCCGAAGCCUGUGAGCUAACUUAUAGAGGCAGCAGUCGAAGGUAGAAUCAAUGAUUGGGGUGAAGUCGUAACAAGGUAAC